CUCAUUUAACUAUGGCCCCAUGAAUUGUAAAAUUAAAUCUUCUUCUUUUUAGGUGGAAAAAAACUGCAGUUUUAUGGUGUUGAAACAAGACAAAGAAAGCCAACAUUUUCCUGGAGGAUUCUAUUCAAACAUUACUAUAAACUCCAUCAAUACACAGUCAGAAUUUUUGUGUGUUUGCACAAAUUUGCACAUCAGAUACAGACGUGCUCCUCCAUUAUUUAAGGAUUUUAUAAGGAAACAUUUAGUGAAUAAUCCUGCACAUCCAUCUGAUAACAACUUUUGGCAGAAAGCGUGGGAUUCUGCAGUGAAUUAUAGACGGAAUGGAAAGAAUAGCAGAUAUAUACCAAAGAUACAAUCCUUCAUGGAUAAAAAACAUUUUAAUAGACAAAAUUUUAAGAAAAUGUUCACACGAGCAUUUCCAAUUAAAGCUUCUAAAGAACGAACUUUAUUCAGAAGCACAGGCAAAAUGGAUAUUUUUGAUGUUAGUCGAGAUGAAUUGAAUAAACUUACAGUCCAGAAAAGAAAUGAUUAUAUUGUGGUUGAUCUUGACCAAAAUAAUAAGCCAAUUCAUUAUGAACCAGUUAAAGAAGAUAUUGCUAAACAGUUAGAACAAGGGAAAGAAGAGGCAGCCAUUGCAGGAGAGACAGCAGUUGGAGAAAUGGCAUCCAUCGGAGAAGUGGCAUCCUUAGGAGAAGUGGCAUCCAUCGGAGAAGGUGUCAUCGGUUUUCUCGAAUAUGUGUCUCCUUUUCUUUUAUUAUAAGCCAUAAAUGAAAUAAUAUUUUGAGGGUUGUACUUUAAUACCUACUGUAUAAACCUCAAUAUAUCCCAGUAUGCUAGAAAGUUUAUAGACAAAUUUAAUUUAAAAAUUAACAGUAAGUUAAUUUAUCUAGUAGUGCUAAUUACAAAUGCAUUUCAACUGUACCUUUGAAUGUAACCAUAAAACUACAUAUGUAAAAUGGUAAAAACUUAGUAAAAUCAAAUGCACCCCAAAAAAAUAUUUUCUUCUGCAUUUUCCUAUUAAACUCUUUACAGUUUCAUACAGUCAUUGGACGGCAAUGAUUCGUUUUAGAAAACAAAACACAAAUACAUACAAGUAAAGUCAAAUCAUCAAUCUGCAUCACAGAAGCAAACAUUUUACAAUAAAUUACAUUUGCACCAUAAAAAUGAAUGCAUCUAGAGCGGACUUUCUGACAUACUCCUCGCGUUUGAGUCUAAUGAUAAUAGGACAAAUGGAAGAAUACGUUUUGACACAUCCGGUUUAAACAGCUUUUGUGUCUGUACAGACUUGAGAAGGAUCUCAGAAUCAAGUAAGUGGUCUAUUAAUGGCGUCCCAGAUCACAUCAGAGGUUUAUUCGUUUGUUCCGACCAUUUUGUUUUAUAAUCAAGGCACAGUAAUGAAGAGUUCACAGAGAAACAUUUGUUGAAAGAUGAAGCAGCUAUAGCUAUAUAGAUCUCACAGCUGCAUCACAGACCGUAAGUAAAUGAUUUAAUAAUGCUUGCUUUGUAAAUGAUAAAGUUCUCCUUCGAGCAUUCACCCCCAGCACCCCCACAGCUAUGUGCCCUUCCUCAGCCUCUACAAGAGGUGCAAAUAGUAUCUGCCACUAUUUGCAGUAAGUACAAAUAGCAUCUAGCUACUAUUUACAAAGUGCAAAGAAGAUACUGCUGUUCUCACUUAGUGCAAAUAUCAUCUAUCGCAUGCAGUGCAAAGACCUCUGCUAUAAAAAAAAAUUAAAAAUGUCACGUCAUGUCAUGGCCCAUUUAAAUAAUUGCAUUUGCAACAUGUAUUUAUUCAGAUUUCUUAGACAAUGAUAACAGUGAUGCUUUAUCAAUUUCUUCUCUGCUAAACAAACACAAACAUUAUUUUGUUUUCUUUUGGUUGUGUUUUCAUUCUCUGACAUGUUUGUGUUUUUGGGUGUGGCUGGAGGAGAUGAUUGUUAGUUUUCCUCGUCUCCACCCUUUCCACAGCCCAACUAUUGUUUUACAGAGACUUUAGAGAUGACUGUGUACUUGUGAAUUCACAUUAUUUAUGUUAUGAAAGAAAUAUCUUGAUAUGAAGGAUUAUACGUGCAGAAAAAGACCGAUUGUUGUGCAUUAAGCCAAAUGAAACAAAGGAAAGCGCCUUCUUAGACAUUUUUGGCACAAUAAUGUUGAUGGACUUGAUUAUCUUGUUUGUCCCGCCUGCUUUAGACACCCAUGAUGAGCCUUGAAUCUCCUCCUUAGGAGGAAGCAAGUGGGUGAAAUUCAUGAAAGCAGGUCAAGGAAACAUUUGACCUCAAAAGAAAGAACAUACAGAAUUUUAC
ensembl:lncRNA